UAUAUUCACAGAGUUUGCAUCCAUCACCACAAUCAAUUUUCAAACAUUUCAAUUACCCUAAAAACAAACCCCAUACUCCUUAGCAACACUCUUCAAUUCCCCCAUCCUCCUAAUUCUAGACAACCUUAAUCUACUUUCUAUUUCUAUGGAUUUGCUUCUUCCAGCAUUUCAUACAAAUGUGAUCAUACAAUAUUCUCCUUUCUUAGCAUAACAUUUUUAAGGUUAAUUCACACUGUAGUAUGAAUCAGUACUUUAUUAUUUUUAUUCCUGAAUAAUAUUCCAUUGGUUGUACAGAUAUGCCACAUUUUACUUAUCCAUUCACCUGUCAAUGGACAUUUGGGUUAUUUCUAUAUUUUGGCUACAAUGGAUAUGCUGCUGUGAACAGGUGUGAACUGAUGGACUAUAUGGUACUUAGAGAUGUUUAACCAUUUGAAAGAAUAGUUAUCUUUUUCUAAAGAGCUUUCACCAUUUUACAUUUUUACCAGCAGUGUCAGAAGCUCCAAUUUCUCCACAUCCUCACAGAUACUGUUAUUAUUUGUUCUUUUAAUAUAUAGCUACCCUAGUAAUAUCUCAUUGUGACUUUGAUUUACAUUUCCCUCGUGGCUAAUGGUUAGAGCAUCUUUUUGUGCACUAUUUGGCCAUUUAUAUACAUCUUCUUUGAAGAAUUAUCUAUUCGGAUCCUUUGUCCAUUUUUAUUGUGGAGUUGUAACAAUUCCUUAUUUAUUCUAGAUACAAAUCCCUUAUCAGAUAUAUGCUUUACAAAAAUGUUCUACUGUUUCAUUUGCUGUCUUUAUUUUCUUGAAGGUGUUCUUUGAAGCAGAAAAAAUUUAACUGUGGUCAUAUCCAAUUUAUCUAUUUUUCCAUUUGUUGCUGUGCCUUUGGUGUCCCAUCUAAGAAACCAAGGUCGUGAUUAUUUAAACCCAUCUUUUCUUCUAAGAUGUAAUCUUAUGUAAAUCUUUAGUUCAUCUUUAGUUAAUUUUUGAAUAAAGAGUAAAGUACGGGUCAAAAUUCAUUUCUACAUAUAGACAUCCAGCUGUCACAGCACCAUUCCUUUACCUACUGAAUGGUUUGGGUAUUCUUGUAAAAAUAAAAUUUACUGUUUAUGUGAGUGUUUAUUUCUAGACUUUUGAUUCUCUUCCAUUGAUCUUUUGGCUAUCUUUAGACCACAUUGUCUUGACAACUGUAACUGCAUACUUAGAUUUUGAAUCUAGGAAAUGGGAGUCCCACAGCUUUGUUCUGCUUUAUCAAGAUAAUUUUGGUCAUCCUAGGUUUCUUGAAUUUCCAUAUAAAUUUUAAGAUCAAGCUGUUAAUCUCAGCUGGGAUUUUUACAGAAUUGAGCUAAAUCUGUAGAAUCAUCUGGGGAAAUAUUGACAUUUUAACAGCAUUAAUUUUUCCAAUCCAUGAACAUAAGAUACCUUUCCAUUUAUUUGAUUCUUUCAUUUCUUUCAACCAUGUUCUGUUGUUUUUAGGGUAUACGUUUUGC
rnacentral:lncRNA from 1 species